rnacentral:misc_RNA from 1 species
CAUUGUCGUGACCCUGACCAAAAUAGACCGUGAACGCGUAAUCCAGCCCGCCGUCGGCGACUCACCUCGUCGUUCGGCCAUGUCCUCGACAACCUCCUCUCCUCGGAGCGGGGGCUCGGGGUAAAAGAACCCACGGCGCCUAAGGCGUCAAGGAACACUAUGCAUAACUCGGGGACGCGGCUAGCUUGCUGGCCGCCCCCCGUGUUGCAAAGCUAUAUAAUCCACACGACUCUCGGCAACGGAUAUCUCGGCUCUCGCAUCGAUGAAGAACGUAGCGAAAUGCGAUACCUGGUGUGAAUUGCAGAAUCCCGCGAACCAUCGAGUCUUUGAACGCAAGUUGCGCCCGAGGCCAUUCGGCCGAGGGCACGCCUGCCUGGGCGUCACGCCAAACACGCUCCCAAAACCCC